ensembl:lncRNA
AGCUUCAGCGGGAGCAGUAGCUGAACAGAGUCAACUAAUGAAGCCUCCCAUUCUUCCAGGGAUAACAUAAGGACCAUAGCCCUUUGGUUAAAUCAUGUAAGUGGGCAUUGGAUAAAGGUGAGAACUGUGCCGGAACUGACACACUAAAACUUGGUUUAUAGGUGGCUGGAGCCACAUGAGGGCAAGCAGAUUGCCACCAAAUGAGAAAGAUUUAGUAUGUGUUUCUCUUGCUGCUGCUAAGUUGCUUCAGUCAUGUCCGACUCUGUGCGACCCCAUAGACCGCAGCCCACCAGGCUCCUCCACCCGUGGGAUUUUCCAGGCAAGAGUAAUGGAAAAACUUGAUUCAGAAACACUACAGAGAAGAACAAGAUGGCAGAGGAGUAGAUGGUUGUAGAGUACAUGUCUCUCCACUGGAUACAUCAGGAAUACACCUUCAGACACAGAAGUGCAUGCAAAACACCAGCUGAGAGCAGACAGGAGUACCUGACCAGUGGAAAAGAAUAUAUAGAACCACGCAAAACUCAGUAGGAGGAAGGAACUAGGGGGAAAACAGGAGUGUUAGUAGGACUGGACCUGCCCUUGGCAGGUGGGGGAACUGGCAAUUAUCUAAGUCAGAGGAGAAAGAUUUAAGGCUGAGAGUGAAACAGCUGAUCUGUAGCAGCCUAAAUGGAAUGAGAAUCAGACAGUCCUUGUCACAGCCAUACAUACCCUGGACAGGGACUCGGGUCCCCUAGAAGGCACAGAGGCUGGGAGCUGGAGUUUAGGGAUUGUGGAGCAAUCCCAGUGAGAGGGCUGCUGUUGACUGCAGAGAGACAGAUUGAGGGGAUGUGAGGGAGGAGACUGUGGUGGGAAAUGCCUGUGGAGGAAAGCCAGGCAGCCAUGGAAGCAAAGUGAUACUGCUGAGUCACACAUAGGGGAUUGAGCCAUCACCAUAGCCUCUCUCUUCCCACAUGCCAGCAUUGCCAGCUGAACAAUGGAGAGGCUGACCCAUCAAACUCCUGACACACUCAACUACAGAGUAGGACCCCACCCAGGGUCUCCUUAACUGCCUGAUGCACCAAUCUACAGAAUAGGACCCCAGCCAGGGGGGCCUCUCUAUGUGCCUGAUGUGCUGUGAGCUAUGGAGAAAGACUGGCCAAAGAGGCCCUUUUGAUCAUGAGCUACAAGAAGAUCAAAAAAAAAGACACUGACAGGGCCAUAACUCCUGCGGCAGAGGCAGUCGAUGUCCUUAACACUUGGUGCCACAAGGGUCUCCACAAGCCAAGCAGCUGUGCCACCUUCACGUUCCACUCUCACUGGGGCAGAGCUGUCACAGGCAAAAAAAUUCUUCUGUUUAUGCAUGCAGGGUCGCACUGGUCAUGUCCAACUCUUUGUGACCCUGUAGACUGUCACCUGCCAGGCUUCUCUGUCAGGGGAGUUCUCUGGGCGAGAAUACUGGAGUGUAUUGGCCAAUACUGAUUGCCAUAUCUUUCUAGAACACUAUAUUUCCUGCUGCCCUAGCUGCCAUCUCCUCUGAGUACCUGGUGCUGCCAGAACACCUGUGACCCAAGCAGCUGCACCACCUCCACACCUGGCCCUCACAGGGGCAAACCCAAGUCCUCCAGGGCAGCCUCAGGAGCAAACCCAAGUGGACAACCCUCAUUUAGAGGUGGAAAUAAAACCACAGUUGAAACCCAGGGGCAGUGUGGCUAAUGAAGAAGACCUAAACUUUCCCACCAGCUUUACAAGCUAUGGAUUAAAUCCACACAAUCAACUAGGCAGACUCUCUCUAUGGAAUUUAUAAAAGGACACUGAGAGCUCCACAAAAGAAAAUACACUAGUUCUGAGAGCUGUGGACGUUGGAGGCAAGAACACACAGGAGCCAGAUCAACACUGGAGCUUCCCCCACGGUAGGUCCAGAGACCAGCAGUGUUGGAGGGCAUCCUAGGGAGGUGAGGUGGACUGUGACUCCCAGCGAGGGAAAGGACUCUGACAGCAGUGACUCAAGAAAAACAUCUAUUAAUUUUAUGUUUUGACUUGUUCAGUAGAUUCUUUUGGAUUUGUUUUCUUUUUUCCUUUUAUCCGCCCCCCUUUUGUAGCUGCCAAUUUUAUUGGUACUAUGAAAUCUAAUUAAGCUUUUGAGCUUUUUCUUUUCAGUCACAUUUUUUGUUGUUGUUGUUGUUGUAAACCUCUGGCUCUACAGUGAGCUUUUGCAGUUCUGUGGAGUUUUCCUCCCCCACCCCCCGC